rnacentral:tRNA from 1 species
AAGGGCUUAAGUUAGUUAAACUAAAAGCCUUCAAAGCUUAAAACGGCAAUAAACCAGCCCUUA